GCUAAAUAUUUACACGGAGCAAAAAACAAAGAAAUUUAGCAGCCCUCAUCCUGAUUUCAUGUGGGUGAGGGAAGCCUGGAGGGAGAGAGGAAUGGUGGUUUGGAGGGAAAUGGAGUUUAAAACAAGACAAAACUGCAAUGGAGAGGAGAGUUGUGGGAAGGGAAUCCUCUUCGAGCAAUCAGUUCCGACCUCUGGAAACAAUAACCAGUCUCUCUACCAGCCGACUGCUAGUUAGCUCUACAGUGCAUUCCGUGAACCUAAGAAGUUGAGAGGAAGAUUACUUAUUUGCUUUGUGCAUUCCAUGUUUCUCCUUAGGG